GGUCGAAUAGCCGGUGCCGGUGACGAUGACGACCUGCCGGGUCGCGGCGGGCAGGGUGGUCAACCGGGAGGCCCGGUUCGGUGGCGGGACCGGCCGC
rnacentral:tRNA from 1 species